AGAGCUGUGGCUCAGUGGCAGAGCAUUCGCUCUGCACACAGAAAGUCCCAAGUUCAAUCCCUGGCACCUCUA